GACUCAGUCCUUAAGUCAAGUGCUUAGGGAAGUGUAAUGCAAAUGAAGCAAAAGAUAUUAUAGCUCUAUUUCAUGCAUUAUUUUUCUUCAGCCUGCUGAAAACAGAAUUCUUACAAUGUAGUCAAUGGAAAAACUCUGCAGAGCAACAUACUGCUUAGCAGGGUUUAAAUGUUCUGUUCUUAGUGGGCAUGAUGAAGUCGAUGGAGGGUGUGAGACCCUGGUGUGGCUCUGGGAUAACAGUGAAACCUUGGUGGGACUUCAGGGCAACGGAAGAAUGCCUCAGACAACACUGAUUGUUUUCCAGAUAGCAGGAAAAUGCAAUGUCAGCUUAAAAAAGCCUGAAACAAGAAGUGAGAAAGGGACAAAAAAGCAGUAUUCAGCAUGCUCAAUUGAAGAAUGGUUUUGUAUAUGACUACUUUACAUCCUCUCUUUGAAAGCUGUUCCUUAUGAUGUGUAAAAGCCCAGAUGAAAGCAACAACAGAACCAUGAAGUAUCCACAUUUUAAGAGGGCUACAUCUGGAGGCAGAUGGUCCCUGUUGGUUGCUCCCAUUCCAUGUACAAGAAACUUCCUUGGUGCUGGUCAUCUUGCAAAAUGACACAACUCUGGCAUACUGAGGAUCCUAAAAAUCCCUCUCCCUUUUCUGUGGCUCUAAAAUCACACCUGGAAAUCAGAAUGUAUGUUUGGAAAAACUACCAUACCUUGCCAGUGUAUUUUCAAGGAGUUUAUGACACCAGAGUUGCAAGUUUUUCUUUGGUUUUAAGUUUGUUUCCUGGUAGUGUUGAAUUCUAUAAUGUUUCGGGACUAAAUUAUUUGAGAUGGUGGCCUCAUUUCCUUCUUGAUUAGUGCUUUGGACACAAAAGCUCAUCAUUAAAGAAGACAACAGAUAACUGGCUUUUCACUGCAAGGGAAUUUUGUGGAUGGAAUCUGCUUUUCUCUCUGGCCCAAAAUAAUUCAAAUCAAUUGACCCUUAGUUCCAUUUCUUUCUUUUAAUCUAAGCUUUUGGGAAGGAAUAGAAAGAUUGGUAUUUGAGAGUAGAGAGUAAUUUGAAUUCCAUUUGACUGCUGAUUUGUCAUAAUUUUUUGGUGCUGAUGAAAAGCUCUUGAAUGUUUUUAAAAACCAUGUCAAGGAUACAGAGAAAUGAUUGUAUCCAGUAUCUUAGUUUAAUAUACUAAGAAUAAUUAAAUUUUGUAUUUUGUGCUUGAUCUUUACUUUACAAAAACAACGUUCCUUAAAAAUCUUCCUUCAAUACAGGUUGAAAAUAAAUGAAAACUCACAUUGCAAGCUUAGUGCAAUUUAGAAAUUUAAUUGAUUUCCUAUAUGAGAAGAAUGUUGUAUUAUUUCUUGAAUACACAAACCAGGUUUUCUAUAGUUAGAGGUGUUUUCUGCUAGAACACGAAUUAGCUAUGAUUUCCUUUAGGUCCAUCAGCAUCAUUAGCAGGGCCACUGUUUCCAUAGUUUUAAAAGGAUACAAGAACCAGCGAGGAACAGUUUGCUUGUGCACUACAAAAAAUAAUAUUUGUACUCAUGCAAUUUUCUUUCGCAUGGCUUUCCUGUUCCCCUCUAUCCAGUUAUUUUUUCUCUAAAAAAAAUUAAAUAUCUUUUCUUCUG